rnacentral:rRNA from 1 species
CCAGACUCCUACGGGAGGCAGCAGCGAGGAAUAUUGGUCAAUGGGAGGAAUCCUGAACCAGCCAUGCCGCGUGCAGGACGACGGCUCUACGAGUUGUAAACUGCUUUUGUACCGGGGUAAAAUGCCUUACGAGUAGGGUUUUGAAAGUACGGUACGAAUAAGGAUCGGCUAACUCCGUGCCAGCAGCCGCGGUAAUACGGAGGAUCCGAGCGUUAUCCGGAUUCAUUGGGUUUAAAGGGUGCGCAGGCGGCGAUUUAAGUCAGCGGUAAAAUUUCGGGCCCCAACCCCGACAAGCCGUUGAAACUGGCUUGCUAGAGUGGGCGAGAAGUAUGCGGAAUGCGUGGUGUAGCGGUGAAAUGCAUAGAUAUCACGCAGAACUCCGAUUGCGAAGGCAGCAUACCGGCGCCCAACCGACGCUCAGGCACGAAAGCGUGGGUAUCGAACAGGAUUAGAUACCCUAGUAU